rnacentral:lncRNA from 1 species
AAAAAAAAAAAAAAAAAAAGUAUUUCGACACUUGUCUAUAAGUGUAAAUCUUGCACCUCCACCAUCCAAGAGUUCACAAAACCCAAUUGUGUUUUAAUAAUGAGAGUCCGGCUACUGUACUAUUAUAAGUACGAUCGCUCUCAUACUCAUAAGUUGUUUUCGAUAAUAGAGCUUCUGAAUUGACGAUCCACACCGUUAAACAUUGUCUAAAGCAUUUGAAACAUUUAGAAAUCAAAUUUUAUAAUUUUUCGAUACAAUUGAGCUACUGUACUAUUAUGAGUAUUAGGCCCUUCGUACUCAUAAGUUGUUUUCGAUGAUGGAGCUUCUGAAUCGACGAUCCACUCCGUUAAAUAUGAUCUAGAGUAUUUGAAAUUUCUAGAAAAUAAAUUUCGUAAUUUUUCGAAAUCAUAAUAAAGUUCAUCAAGCUGGCAUAACAUGAACAGUCAAAAUCGAAUGAUGUCUUAAAAAUGGAUCAUCGGAUCCUUCAAUUUAAGAUCGGAGUUAUUGAUCUUUAUCUAGGUAGUGAAUAGAAUUUUCUAUCAAAAAUUCAAUAAAUUCUGAUUCUUUUACACCGUUAAACUAGCAAAUAUUUCAUACCGGCCGUUAAAAAUUGUCAAUUUUAUGACAUUUUGAUCGUAAGGCAAAUGAUGUCGAAAAAUUAUAAAAUUUGAUUUCUAGAAGUUUUAAAUGCUGUAAAUAAUGUUUAACGGUAUGGAUCGUCGAUUCGAAAGCUCUAUCAUCAAAAACAACUUAUAAGUACGAGGGCGAUCGUACUCAUAAUAGUAUGGUAGCCGGACUCUAUAUAUAUAUAUAUAUACACACACCGCUUGUGAAAUGCACUACCAAGCCAUGGUAUCCUUCGGUAUUAUGUUCCGAAUUUGAAUUAUAAUCUACGUACAAAAUUAAGGCUUAGUUUGCUUCUACGUUCUCCGGUGAGACCGCAGAAAAUAUAUGGUAACCGACUUAUUGUGAUAUGCGGAACACAAUAUUAUGUGCGGAAAUAAAUAGGGUAUUUUUUCAACGUACUUUCUCACCGCAAUCUUCCCGCAAACUCAAACGAAGCCUAAAUAUAUAAAAGUAAAUAAGUCAAUCUAACUUUAUUACAAAUUAAAGGCCCAAAAAACCUACUU